rnacentral:lncRNA from 1 species
UGCAUGUGCAUGACUGGAAUGCUUCUAUACAUGUGAACUUUACUCUGAAUGAUCUGCAUGUCAUUGCAUGGCUUCAGUAAAGACGUAAUGACUGACUGACAGGGUUUGUGUUUGGUAUGUCAGUGUGAUGGCGGUGUGAGGGAGGUUGUGGAGAGCGUUCAUGCCGUGUGUGAACAGCUGUGUGGCGUCACUACAGCAGAUCUGGAGGACGACGUCGGGCGGAUCCAGUGCUACGCUCCAGUCACACUGACUCCAGUCGAAAUGUGUGACUGUGAAACUGCUGUAGUCAUGCUCCAUCACGCUCUGCUGAAGCUGCUCCACAUUUUCUUCACAAACUUUGAUUUGGACUUCAGAGGACAGGAGGACCAUCCGAAUCCACCAGCAGCAGACGUCAAGCACAGCGGCUGCAUGCUGCAAGUCAACCUGACGUGCCUCUACAGACUGCUGCCGGGCUGGAUAAACAGGUACGACCAGAUGUUUAACACUUCUGAGAAACCCGGUCCUCAGAGCAUAGCUGUGAGUGCAGA